rnacentral:rRNA from 1 species
GCGCAGCAGUCGAGAAACCUCCGCAAUACACGAAAGUGUGACGGGGCCAUCCCGAGUGCCGUCCGCUGAGGACGGCUUUUCCCCAGUGUACACAGCUGGGGGAAUAAGGAGAGGGCAAGCCUGGUGUCAGCCGCCGCGGUAAUACCAGCUCUCCGAGUGGUGGGGACGCUUAUUGGGCCUAAAGCAUCCGUAGCCGGCUGGGCAAGUCCUCCGUUAAAUCCAACGAUUCAAUCGUUGGGCUGCGGGGGAUACUGUCCAGCUUGGGGGCGGGAGAGGCCGACGGUAUUCCCGGGGUAGGGGUGAAAUCCUAUAAUCCCGGGAGGACCACCAGUGGCGAAGGCUGUCGGCUAGAACGCGCCCGACGGUGAGGGGAUGAAAGCUGGGGGGAGCGAACCGGAUUAGAUACCCGGUGUAGU